UCUUAUGGGGGAGCAAAGAAAGUGGUUUCUUGAGAUGGAAUCUACUCCUGGUGAAGAACUGUGAA
rnacentral:pre_miRNA from 1 species